AACGUAGGAGACAAACGUUAUCCGGAGUUACUGGGCGUAAAGGGCGUGUAGGUGGUAGAGUAAGUCUGGCGUGAAAUUUUUCGGCUUAACCGGGAAAGGUCGUCGGAUACUGCUUAACUAGAGGACGGUAGAGGCGUGUGGAAUUCCGGGUGUAGUGGUGAAAUGCGUAGAGAUCCGGAGGAACACCAGUGGCGAAGGCGACACGCUGGGCCGUACCUGACACUGAUGCGCGACAGCAUGGGGAGCAAACAGG
rnacentral:rRNA from 1 species